GCAUCCGUAGCCAAGUGGUAAGGCAAGGGACUGCAACUCCCUGACCGACGGUUCAAAUCCGCCCGGAUGCUCCA
rnacentral:tRNA from 1 species